GCCUUCAUGGUGCAGUGGUCAGCAUGCUGGGCGCCUAUUCCAGAAAUCCGUGGUUCGAGUCCCAGUGAAGGCA
rnacentral:tRNA from 1 species